AGAAUCAACGCUGGCGGCGUGCCUAACACAUGCAAGUCGCACGAGAAAGGGUAGCAAUACCUGAGUACAGUGGCGCACGGGUGAGUAACACGUGAAUAAUCUACCUCCGAGUGGGGAAUAACUGAGAGAAAUCUUAGCUAAUACCGCAUAACACUUACGAGUCAAAGCAGCAAUGCGCUUGGAGAGGAGUUCGCGGCCGAUUAGUUAGUUGGCGGGUAAUGGCCCACCAAGACGAUGAUCGGUA
rnacentral:rRNA from 1 species